GGACCAAGUCAGAGUACUCCAAACUCUCUGCGACCUCGUUAGUGACAAAUACAGCGACGGCCCUCCUCAACAAUCGGGCCAGCAGGAGCUCUUUCCUGAGAGCGGCGUAUUCAUGUCCUCGUUCCGCCUUGCUGCCAUGAGUCAUGCUUCAAAGCCCAAUUGCAUGCGUUUAUUCCACGCACUUUUUGACCACUUUUUUACAGUUGAGGAGUGUCAAAAUGCAGGAACAGGAAAGCGCAUCCUUGACCGGAAAAAAGUUGAAGAAAUCCUAACGUAUGUCCUGAGAUGCGGUACCCUUCCUGAUUGGGACAAUAUUGAGGAGGCCAAGCUCAAGCAAGCUUUGGUAAACAAAUGUUGGGCAAGAGCAGGUUUUAAGUAGGCCCUUGUACCUGCCAAGUUCAUUCUGGGGUAGGAUGUUUCCUUUGUAAACAUGUUGAUAUUUUGGUCUGGGGUUGCGCAGUAUAUAUUGUAUAAAAAUGCCCUAUGAUGUAGCUUUUAGUACCACGUUAUACUGUGACAAUGCAUAUUGAGCUGUGCUGUGUCUCGCAAAUUUGGCACUGAUGCAACCUCACUAACAAGCUAGCGGCUAAUAUCCCUUCACAGUACAAAGCUGUUUCCAAAUAAAAAACGGAAAUGACGCAGUAUGUUACUGCUUACAUAAUCAGGUAUAUUAGUAGCUUUUGUAACCAAUUUCAAAAUG